AAGCAAUAUAAAAAAAAAAUAAAGACAAAUUGACCUUUUGUACCAUUGUAUUAUUUCAAAUUACCUAGAAUAUUCAAGUUAAAUUUUCUAAUCAAAAUUUUAAUUCCCAUUUGAAACGAUUUACCGUGAGUAUCGAGUACCGAGUCGUAUGGCACUUCGCUAUUAACAUUACGAUGACAAAUGUCAAAACGUGCCUAUUAAAUUGUGAUGUUCCUUUUAAUAUUUAUUCUACUCUGUGUUGUGAUGACUAUAAUCAUGCGUGUACACCUGUUCAUCUGGCCAAAAUCAGAGAGUGCAGCUAAGAGAGCACAGUUGGCGAGGGCUCCGGCGCCGGCGACGCAUGCGAUAUAAGUCGCAACAACAAGUGGCGGGAAUAGCGGUCCAGGCGCGGGUGCGAGCUCCGACAUGGCGUCGGCAGUCGGGGAACGCAUCGGGAUCAAUGACUUUACGCUGCGUCACUUGCGUUCUCCGCCGUCCCUCACUGUUUUUUUUUUUUGUUAGUGAAUCAUCACCAAGAACAUGUGAACGGGUAUAUUCGCCACAACGGAAUCCUUAUUUGUUGUCAGUUUAGUUGGUAAAUUAUUUAAAUUAACUUUUAAUCAAUA